AUAAGAGCGUCUGCUAAAUGACUUAAAUGUAAUGUAAAUGUAAAUAGAUGGACUCCAACCUGGUAAAAAGUACCAGUUCAGUGUGGCUACAGAGGGAGAAGAUGGAAGACAAAGCAGAUGCUGAUGCUGAUCAGCAUCUGUAUUCACAGUGGUCCCAGCACCCAGGAACUUACAAAUAAACCAGUCAGGAGCAACCUCCUUCACUAUCAGUUGGUCCAAGGCCUGAAAUAAUGGAGAAAGUUCCACAGAGCUCCCUCUUACAGUAUCCUACUGCAGCCCAGGAACAGAGCCAUGUGCAGCCAAUACUGAGGACUGCUACAGAACUCUCUCUGGCCUGAUAGUCAGUACACCAUCAGUGUCUCAACUGUGUUGAACGACGGGGAACAGAGUGAACCUCUCUCUACAACCAGCUGUACAAUUAUCCCUGCCCCGGUAGGGCUGAAUGUUGACUCAGUAGACAACACAUCAGCUGCUGUUAGCUGGAGCCAGCCACCAGGAUUGGACCAAACACAACAUCAUUACCAGAUCUCCUA